UACGGGGGGAGCAAGCGUUGUUCGGAUUUACUGGGCGUAAAGGGCGCGUAGGCGGCCACCGCAAGUCGGUUGUGAAAUCUCCGGGCUUAACCCGGAAAGGUCAAUCGAUACUGCGGGGCUAGAGUGCAGAAGGGGCAACUGGAAUUCUCGGUGUAGCGGUGAAAUGCGUAGAUAUCGAGAGGAACACCUGCGGCGAAGGCGGGUUGCUGGGCUGACACUGACGCUGACAGCGCGAAAGCUAGGGGAGCAAACAGG
rnacentral:rRNA from 1 species